UACGUAGGGUGCGAGCGUUGUCCGGAAUUAUUGGGCGUAAAGAGCUCGUAGGCGGUGUGUCACGUCGUUCGUGAAAACCUGCAGCUUAACUGUGGGCGUGCGGUCGAUACGGGCGAUCACUGGAGUUCGGCAGGGGAGACUGGAAUUCCUGGUGUAGCGGUGAAAUGCGUAGAUAUCAGGAGGAACACCGGUGGUGUAGACGGCUUACUGGACCACGACUGACACUGAGGCACGAAAGCGUGGGUAGCAAACAGG
rnacentral:rRNA from 1 species